CAUAUGAGAAUUAGGGCUACUGCUGCUGAAAUCUCCACUUUGCUCAGGUUGCUAAACUACAUGCAAAUCAUUUGCUUGAAAAUGUCCCUGAGACCUGUCACCGGGGUGCAUCUCUGUGCCUGUCCCUCUCCAUCACCGCGCUCUGGAAAGGACCGCACAUCUGCUGCUCCGCGCAAACUCCCUCCAGCUCUUCACCUCCCGAACCUGUGUCGCCCAUUCUCAAAAGGCAAGUUUCACUGAAGCAUCUCCGAACCCACAACAAGGUCAGACACUCCAAGUGUGGGACGAAGUGCAAGGCUAAAUUUUAUAACACACAGUCCAUUUUGGACUCUUGUUGUAGAGGUGCUGACAAGGAAUUUUGAUUUUCAACGAAGUUCGAAGAAUCCAGUCACUCAAGUAAAGCGGGAAACUUGCCUUUUUUGAGCAAGUGGUCUUUCCUCAUCAAUUUGUAUAGGACUGAAGAUUAAAAAUAGCUCUUCAGCUGGGGUACAGCUGUGCAGCAUUGACUUAAAUGGAGCUGCACUGCCUCACAACAAGCGAGCAUCUGUACAUAGCCCUCUACUAUGGCAAACCACAGAAGUUAACACCAAGGAUUCCACUGCAAUUAAUUGGACUUUCUUGAUGAUUGUAUUAGACUGAGGAUUGAUAAUUUAUCUCAGCCUGGACCGUACAAAGGCUGGAUGCUGAACUUAGGAAAAUGUGAACUGGGAGACAACCUGGUGAGAGCAACCGAGUGACUGCAGCCCCGGAGAGGCCGCGAGGAGCCGCGGACCCAGCGCAGGAGAAGCUCCCUGAAGCUCCAGCCCAGACCAUGGGGUUUGCCAGCUGAACACAAAGGGUGGUGUAAAGCUGGGGGAUUUGUGUAUGCUGUCAGUUCAGAAGCAGAGCCAACACCAUUCUCCUGUAAGCAGUUGACA